AAAAAAAAAAAAAAACCUUCUCUCUUACAAAAUCCUCUCACUCUUGAGCUCACAUAGCGCUCUCUCUCUCUCUUUCUCAUAUGAAAUUUCGACGGAAAACAGCUUUUGGGAUUGUCCGAAACCUGUAGAAGACAAGAGAUAGAGAUAAGAUUUUUUUUUUUUUGAAACUAAGUAAUAGUUUCUCAGGAUACAAAACAUCAGAUGAUCCAAAUUCAAAUUAUCUCCAAUAUGCUAAUAAUUAAAUGAUUUUAUUAAACAUUUCCUAUCAUGAUACCUGAACAUGUGCUAAAGUCGCCACUCUUUCUUUUUUUUUUUUUUUUGGCUUAUUAUUUGUAAAGACUUAUUUGUAAGAGGAUCAGCACUGAAAGCUCAUUGGGUGGGGUAGGGCCGUAGGGGUUAAAGAUGAUUGGAAUUUUUAUGACCUUUGAUUUUUCUUGCUCCUGCAGGGUUCUCUGCAAGUUCUUUGCUCAUUGUGAGUUUUCACAUGAUUGGAAGGAUCCUCCACAUAACAUUUGCACCUAUUAUCAGAAAGGACUUUGUGCAUGUGGUAGUCGUUGCAGAUAUGAACAUGUUAAUGCUUCUCGAGGCCAUUCUUCUGCUUCAUCUUCAUCAACAAACGCACGCCAAAUGCAUGUCAAAGUUCCUGAAAGUGUUGGUCCAUUGAUUGCAAGCACUUCGAUUUUGGGAAUGGAAACCGCCCAUUUGGGAGUAGUUGAUUUUAUAAGCAUGCAUAUCAAGAUGGCCGUCUAGAGGAGGUAGUUCUACGUCAUCUUGGGUCUGAAGAUGGAGAAACUGUGAUAGCUAAAAAUAUUAGGCUGUCAGAGUUCGUUGGUAACAUGCGUAUAAGGUAAAUAGAUGCUAUUUUAUAGUCUAGAGAUAUCUAAUGAUAUGGAGAAACCAUGCGCCACUUCAAUUGCUGAGUUCUUUUCAAAUGCCAGUGUGGCACUCCAGUUGUUUUUAAGUUAUGAUGCAAUAGAGAUAUUUAUAUGCUUUUCUAAGAUUUGUGUAAGUUGAUGGUUGCUCAGUUGGACCCCAGAAGUGACCUUCAAUGUCUCUUUGCUUUACAAAUAUAUAUUUUGGUUCCAUUGCCUGUUCUGCCUAGUUGUACUAAUUCACCUUUCAAUGGUGAGAUGUUUGAUUCUACCUGUUAUGGGUGUUGGCAAUUUUAGGUUUUGGUAUUUUUUUGGUCCAACAAAGUGAUUUAGAGGUUGGGUCUUGGUGCGAUGUCAAGUGCCUUCCACAAAAAGUAAACAAGUUGUGGGUUUGACCUUGGUAUUUGACUUGAUGAUUGGUUCUUAUUUCUAAGUUUAUAUUGAUAACUUGGAUUGACAUGAAAUUAUUGGACGGUUCUUACAACUAAUGCCAAAUGAAAUAUGCAGUAAUAGUUUAUAGGUCAUAAGCUUUUGUUAGGAUAUAAAUUUACCGUACAAAUCAGGCUUCAAGAUUCUUCUACAAAUCUGUGAAUCCUAGGAAUUCUUUCUCCAUGUCCCUUCUUUUUAAUUAAUUUAUGAUUAAAAAAAACAACAGGAAAAAGUCAAG